AUUGAACGCUGGCGGCAGGCCUAACACAUGCAAGUCGAACGAGUGGCGGACGGGUGAGUUAUGUGUGGGAAUCUGCCUGAUGGAGGGGGGUAACCUCUGGAAACGGUAGCUAACACCGCAUAGCAUGGGAUGUGCCCAGAUGGGUUUGGCUAGUAGGUGGGGUAAAGGUUCACCUAGGCGACGAUCCCUAGCUGGUCUGAGAGGAUGACCAGCCACACUGGAACUGAGACACGGUCCAGACUCCUACGGGAGGCAGCAGUGGGGAAUAUUGCACAAUGGGCGCAAGCCUGAUGCAGCCAUGCCGCGUGUAUGAAGAAGGCCUUCGGGUUGUAAAGUACUUUCAGCGGGGAGGCGUUACCCGCAGAAGAAGCACCGGCUAACUCCGUGCCAGCAGCCGCGGUAAUAC
rnacentral:rRNA from 1 species